rnacentral:rRNA from 1 species
UACGAAGGGUGCAAGCGUUAAUCGGAAUUACGGGGCGUAAAGGGUGCGUAGGCGGUUCGUUAAGUCUGUCGUGAAAUCCCCGGGCUCAACCUGGGAAUGGCGAUGGAUACUGGCGAGCUAGAGUGUGUCAGAGGAUGGUGGAAUUCCCGGUGUAGCGGUGAAAUGCGUAGAGAUCGGGAGGAACAUCAGUGGCGAAGGCGGCCAUCUGGGACAACACUGACGCUGAAGCACGAAAGCGUGGGGAGCAAACAGG